rnacentral:rRNA from 1 species
ACGCUGGCGGCGUGCCUAAUACAUGCAAGUAGAACGCUGAAGAGAGGAGCUUGCUCUUCUUGGAUGAGUUGCGAACGGGUGAGUAACGCGUAGGUAACCUGCCUUGUAGCGGGGGAUAACUAUUGGAAACGAUAGCUAAUACCGCAUAACAAUGGGUGACACAUGUCAUUUAUUUGAAAGGGGCAAUUGCUCCACUACAAGAUGGACCUGCGUUGUAUUAGCUAGUAGGUGAGGUAACGGCUCACCUAGGCGACGAUACAUAGCCGACCUGAGAGGGUGAUCGGCCACACUGGGACUGAGACACGGCCCAGACUCCUACGGGAGGCAGCAGUAGGGAAUCUUCGGCAAUGGGGGCAACCCUGACCGAGCAACGCCGCGUGAGUGAAGAAGGUUUUCGGAUCGUAAAGCUCUGUUGUAAGUCAAGAACGAGUGUGAGAGUGGAAAGUUCACACUGUGACGGUAGCUUACCAGAAAGGGACGGCUAACUACGUGCCAGCAGCCGCGGUAAUACGUAGGUCCCGAGCGUUGUCCGGAUUUAUUGGGCGUAAAGCGAGCGCAGGCGGUUUGAUAAGUCUGAAGUUAAAGGCUGUGGCUCAACCAUAGUUCGCUUUGGAAACUGUCAAACUUGAGUGCAGAAGGGGAGAGUGGAAUUCCAUGUGUAGCGGUGAAAUGCGUAGAUAUAUGGAGGAACACCGGUGGCGAAAGCGGCUCUCUGGUCUGUAACUGACGCUGAGGCUCGAAAGCGUGGGGAGCGAACAGGAUUAGAUACCCUGGUAGUCCACGCCGUAAACGAUGAGUGCUAGGUGUUGGAUCCUUUCCGGGAUUCAGUGCCGCAGCUAACGCAUUAAGCACUCCGCCUGGGGAGUACGACCGCAAGGUUGAAACUCAAAGGAAUUGACGGGGGCCCGCACAAGCGGUGGAGCAU